UUGAUGGAAUUAUCACAGCUUUCAAAAAUUAAGAGCUCAUGUAUUGCCACAGCCUCAAUCUCUUCACCUGUUACCUCUUCCGUUGCCAGUUCUUUAAAUAGCAUGCCUCCACCGUUAUUUCGAUACGAUUUAUAAAACUUUACCGUAAAAGUUCCCAUCAACCGUAAUUUGAAGUUUGGCCGUGACUAAUACGUGAAAACAUGAUUAGUAACGUUGAAUGCCAUAAAUUAAGCUUACACUUAGAAAAAAAAAUGUAUACUGUAUCGAACGAUCCGCAUACAAUAAAUGCACAUACAUAUACGGCACUAAUGUAUCCCAACUUCGAUAUAAAAGAUAUCGUGCAUUUUACUAUCGGUUUUUCGGCAUAUGAUACUUUUGUAGGUAGGUUCCCUCUUCAUGUGGGAUACACAGAUACAUAACCCAUACGUUUUAUCCCCACUUUUAAGGUACAUACAACCGCGUAUGAUGUCAACUGAUGCAAUUGUUUAGUAAUUUAGUUGGUUCAGCUUACGGGGCGAAGGGUGAACACUAGAGGUACUUUUUAGCAGCGUGUGUUUGCAAAAAAAGAGGUCUACCAUAAAUUUAUCCUGCCAUUCGAGAAACCACUUAUCCAACGGUUCAAACACGAAAAUCAUGGUGGUGUACCUAAUACGUAGGUAUGCUUAGGUACAUACUGAAAUAUCGAAAAAAUGUACUCGUGUGUUAUUAUGAAUUAGGAAAAAUGCGCAAUUUGGGAUCCCUUAACUUUAGAUGUACGGUUCAAUGCAGUAUCUUUGUAUCGACAGCGGAAAGUGGCCAAUUAGUUAGUUAAUUGCAGGCAUGGCUCGCGCUGUUUGUAAAAAUUUGGACAUCCCUCGUAUUACGAGUUUUCCUACUGCACAUAAUGCCUACAUUUAUGCAGAUUACGUGGAACCGCAAUGCAUUAUCUUAAGAUUUCAUUGCGUCAUCUAAAAAAGAGAGGAGUCGUUACCGCGCUCUCGCGACAGUACAUACGAUGGGCGAAAUAAAUUUGUGCAUUUGUGAAACAAUUUGGAUUAUAAAUAUGUCGUUUGGGAUUUUUGGCAAAUAAGGAGUCAUGCAUUAGCAAAGGUAAUAAAUAAGCUCUUCAAAUCGGACUGUAUACGAUAUUACAUAUUUUUCUUUUUUCUAAUUUCAUACCUACGCCUACGAUUUUAUUAAGGGGCCGCCAGUGGAAAUAUACGGAUCGAAUCCCUAUAAAAAACAUCCAUACCUACAUAAGUCUUUUCUAUGGAAUUCUUCAGUGUGAACGGCGUUAACAGACGUACCAGAAUGUUUAAAUACGAAUUUUGGAACUACGGCCAGGCGGCGAUGGGGCGGACAAUUGCGGACUCCUUUUGGUGAAUAAGGGAUUAAAUUUCAACCUCGUAUGUCCGGUCAAUGAAACAUUUUUGCAACCGACGCGUUUGGGCAAACGUUUGGGUAUAAUUAUAAAAAGAACCAGAACUAUUGCGAAGCGGCACUUGUGGAUCGUGUGUCGAAAAUUUCCUUUACGAGGUAGAGCAUUCCAAAAUUUUGUGUGGAUAUUUGUUUGAAAAUAAACAACAUUUUUGUGUGUUUUUAUAACCCUCCAACUGACUG